CCCAGACUCCUACGGGAGGCAGCAGUGAGGAAUAUUGGUCAAUGGGCGGAAGCCUGAACCAGCCAAGUCGCGUGAGGGAAGAAGGCCCUGCGGGUCGCAGACCUCUUUGGACGGGGAGCAAGGCCGCCGACGUGUCGGCGGAAGGAGAGUACCCGUAGAACAAGCAUCGGCUAACUCCGUGCCAGCAGCCGCGGUAAUACGGAGGAUGCGAGCGUUAUCCGGAUUUAUUGGGUUUAAAGGGUGCGCAGGCGGCACGGCAAGCCGGCGGGCAAAGCGCGGGGCUCAACCCCGCCCAGCCGUCGGAACUGCCGGGCUAGAGUGGGCGAGAAGUGCGCGGAAUGCGCGGUGUAGCGGUGAAAUGCUUAGAUAUCGUGCAGAACCCCGAUUGCGAAGGCAGCGUACCGGCUCCACACUGACGCUGAGGCACGAAAGCGUGGGUAUCGAACAGGAUUAGAUACCCGAGUAA
rnacentral:rRNA from 1 species